GGUUUGUAGUGUUGUAUGGAUGCCUGUUGGGUCUGAUUGGUUUGUAGUGUUGUAUGGAAGCCCGUUGGGUCUGAUUGGUUUGUAGUGUUGUGUGGAUGCCUGUUGGGUCUGAUUGGUUUGUAGUGUUGUAUAGAUGCCUGUUGGGUAUGAUUGGUUUGUAGUGUUGUAUAGAUGCCUGUUGGGUCUGAUUGGUUUGUAGUGUUGUAUGGAUGCCUGUUGGGUCUGAUUGGUUUGUAGUGUUGUAUAGAUGCCUGUUAGGUCUGAUUGGUUUGUAGUGUUGUAUAGGUGCCUGUUAGGUCUGAUUGGUUUGUAGUGUUGUAUAGAUGCCUGUUAGGUCUGAUUGGGUCUGAGUGGUUUGUAGUGUUGUAUGGAUGCCUGUUAGGUGUGAUUGGUUUGUAGUGUUGUAUGGAUGCCUGUUGGGUGUGAUUGGUUUGUAGUGUUGUAUGGAUGCCUGUUGGGUCUGAGUGGUUUGUAGUGUUGUAUGGAUGCCCGUUGGGUCUGAUUGGUUUGUAGUGUUGUAUGGAUGCCCGUUGGGUCUGAUUGGUUUGUAGUGUUGUAUAGAUGCCUGUUGGGUCUGAUUGGUUUGUAGUGUUGUAUAGAUGCCUGUUGGGUGUGAUUGGUUUGUAGUGUUGUAUGGAUGCCUGUUGGGUCUGAUUGGUUUGUAGUGUUGUAUGGAUGCCUGUUGGGUCUGAUUGAUUUUUAGAGUUGCAUAGAUGCCUGUUGGGUGUGAUUGGUUUGUAGUGUUGUAUGGAUGCCUGUUGGGUCUGAUUGGUUUGUAGUGUUGUAUGGAUGCCUGUUAGGUCUGAUUGGGUCUGAGUGGUUUGUAGUGUUGUAUGGAUGCCCGUUGGGUCUGAUUGGUUUGUAGUGUUGUAUAGAUGCCUGUUGGGUCUGAUUGGUUUGUAGUGUUGCAUAGAUGCCUGUUAGGUCUGAUUGGGUCUGAGUGGUUUGUAGUGUUGUAUGGAUGACUGUUGGGUAUGAUUGGUUUGUAGUGUUGUAUAGAUGCCUGUUGGGUCUGAUUGUAGAGUUUUAUGGAAGCCUGUUGGGUCUGAUUGGUUUGUAGUGUUGUAUAGAUGCCUGUUGGGUCUGAUUGGUUUGUAGAGUUGUGUAGAUGCCUGUUGGGCGUGAUUGGUUUGUAGAGUUGUAUAGAUGCCUGUUGGGUCUGAUUGGUUUGUAGAGUUGUAUGGAAGCCUGUUGGGUCUGAUUGGUUUGUAGUGUUGUAUGGAUGCCCGUUGGGUCUCGUUGGUUUGUAGUGUUGUAUGAAAGCCUGUUGGGUCUGAUUGGUUUGUAGUGUUGUAUAGAUGCCUUUUGGGUCUGAUUGGUUUGUAGAGUUGUUUGGAUGCCUGUUGAGUGUGAUUGGUUUGUAGUGUUAUAUAGAUGCCUGUUGGGUCUGAUUGGUUUGUAGAGUUGUGUGGAGGCCUGUUGGGUGUGAUUGGUUUGUGGUAUUGUAUAGGUGCCUGUUGGGUCUGAUUGGUUUGUAGAGUUGUAUGGAAGCCUGUUGGGUCUGAUUGGUUUGUAGUGUUGUAUAGAUGCCUGUUGGGUCUGAUUGGGUCUGAUUGGUCUGUAGUGUUGUAUGUAAGCCUGUUGGGUCUGAUUGGUUUGUAGUGUUGUAUAGGUGCCUGUUAGGUCUAAUUGGGUCUGAUUGGUUUGUAGUGUUGUAUGGAAGCCUGUUGCAUCUGAUUGGUUUGUAGAGUUGUAGAGAAGCCUGUUAGGUCUGAUUGGUUUGGUUUGUAGUCUGAUUAUUUACAUCUUCUCUUCCCUUAUUCAUCUUCUGCCUAGUUAUAUUGAUAUUGAAUGUGGGGUAUUGAAUCCUUCAGUUUUGUCAGCUUUUGUUUCAUAAAUUUGAAACUCUGUUAAGUGCAUCUGUGUUUCUAUUUUUUUCUGAUGAACAGACCCUUUUAUGAUUAUGACAUGUCCUUCUUUGUCUCUAGUGAAAAAAAAAA
ensembl:lncRNA